CUUCCUACAAUUAAUUAUUUUUUGCACUGUGUAUUAUCACGAGAUCUUGAAGAGUUGUCUCCAGAUUCUGAGCAUAAAUGUGAUCCGCUCUUCUAGUAUGCUAAAUGCUUACCGGCAGGCCUACAAUUCUCUGUUGUUUGUGUUGGCAAUUCAUUUGGGUUUCAUAAUAUUAGUACUUUUUGCAUAUUAAUCUGACAAUUUGAAAUUCACAGAGCAUCAAGUGGAGAAAAUCGAUCCUCUUCUUAAGUGGGUAGAGUCAGAAUUUGGCUUCAAGCCAGCCGUAUAUACCAGUUUUUUUUGUGGCAAGCAAGACGAUGGUCUUGUUAGUGCCAUUGAAAGCCUUCUCAAGAAAAUGGAUGACUGUGAAUUAGCAACAAUUGAUGCAAUUGCUUCAGCUUCACAUUCGCUAGUCAUUGCACUUGGGAUUGAAGAGGCUAUUGAGUUGAUUAGGCUCGAGGAAGAUUUGCAGGCGGCCAUGAUGUUGAUAUUGCAGAUCUAAAAGUUCAGAUUGCUUCAGCUGUGGUGUUUCUUGGACUUACGAGGAGAGUAUAGAUAUGGUACUCAUUUUGUGAGUUUUACCUUAUUCUGUCUCUUUAGUACAUUAGCUCAAUACCAAUAGCAUUUCCUAUAACAUAGUUGGAGUAGCUGGUCGGUCCUUGUAUGGAUAUUACGCCAUUUUAUGGCUUUCUUUCUUUCCUUCUUAUAUUUUGAGAAACAGAUUUGAAAUCCAUAAUGCCUCCUCAUUUUACAAUCGGACAAAUCUUGCCUCUUGGUCUAGAUUAUGCUGCCAAUCAAGGCCCAGCUUCAAGUGCGAAUCCCAAUUACCAAUGAAUUGGAAUGACAGACGAAUGCCUUGAUCUUCAUAUUGACGAAUAAACUGAAGUGAAGCCAUGUCAUUUAGAAAGUUAUCCUCCAUUCUUUGGAAAUCAUGAAGCUUGAUAGUAUAUGAUGUAUGCUAUAAGUAAGAAGAGCAAAAUUCAACGAAUUCUAUACAAUGGCUCUUUUAAACCUAUUUGAAAAGCAUAUUUAGAAGAGAGCGUUGGUUCCACUCGUUGAGUGACCAAGAUAUUUAUGGCUGCAUUUGAGAAACUUGACGACAUACCUCCCUGUUUGCAAAUAUAAAGGCUAGGAAAUAAGACCUCAGAUUCAUUGCAUAAAAUAGAACACAUUGAUUUCGUAAUGCAUGCAGCUAAAAGAGAAGCUCUAGCUUAGCAUGCUUUAAGAUCUAAGGCUCCAAUCUUUUGAUACAACUUGUAGUCCAAAAUCACCAUUUUUGUUUUCUUCUUGAAUUUGAUAGAUGCAUCAAUUAUAAGCAGUAUUUGCUUGAAGCUAAGAGAAAAGUCUGGUAUUAAGUGGAGAAGGGCAAAGAGGACACUAUCCAACGAGUUUUGAAGCUUGCGCCACUCAACAGAAAUUGUAAGGCUCUCCAAAAAAAAAAAA